UUUUGUUUAAGCUCGUUCAUUUCCUCAUCAUUUGUUGUCACUGAUCUACCAUAGCCUCUAACUGACCAGGCUUCUCCUUUCCAAACACUGCUGUGAAUGCAUUAUCUGGUGUUCUCACAGCAUUUUGAUGAUUCUGAAGUUGGGACAGUCAAAAAAGAAAAAAAAUAGUUGUCAGGAGAAGAAAUAAUUUAGUAUAUAUAAAAUAUAUUUCAAAGAAAAAGAAGGAUCCUCCUCAGUCCGAGGAAAGAAAAAGAAUGCUCUAUAGAUACCUCACUAUUCCUCAUACCACUCUCAUGGGCUUUGAGAACAAUGACAAGAGAGCUUGGGUUGCAAGAAUUAUGCAGGCUUCAAAUAGCAAGAGUAUAGAUACAGCUCUAAAUGUUUUAGGAUCAAAUAACAAUGGAGAAACAUUCUUGGUAUCAGUUUCACUAACACUAUGCUUUCUCAUUGGAGCCUGGAUGGCUAACAACACUAUUUUUAAGAGUAUAAUAAUCUAUGGUGACACAAGGCCAGAAAAGAUGCUCCUUUUUACCAGAAAAACAUCUAUUGUUUCUCUCUAGUCAGAUACUAUCACAAAGUGCAACUUAGUACUGCAUUCUAGUAGAAACUAUUUCCCAUAUUUGAUGACUGAUUGUGCGGACUGUUUAAGGCUUGUUUGAUGACACUUUCUUGCAUGAUUUAUUGACUCCAAAAAAUUCCAAGAAACAUAUAUCUUAACUGUCUGAAACAUUCGUGAAGCUAGGCAAGGGACGCAAUACAUGUAAGACAGGCAACUCUGAGAGGGAGCAAUAGUUUUCCAGAUUAUCCCCCAUGGACAUUUUUCAGGAUUUCGUACCAUUUUAAGAAUUAAACUUUUAUGACAUACCUUGACUGAAAAUUUUGUACCACUCCAUAGGAAAGAAUCAGAUAACUGUUCAUCAGUCCUAGCAGUGUUUAGCUUCUAAGCUAUUAACUACUAACUUUGGAAAUGAAUUUAGUUAUCAGUUAUCCUUAGCUCUUUUGACUUUAGCACCUGGAUUUUAAAGGGCAGAAACCAAUUCAAAAAUGUGACGACACCUAAACAUUCCAGAAGUAACUAAAAAUAGGAAAAGACCUACAAAAUAAGGUUCACUCUAAAAGAUGGCCAAUCCUCCAUAGUCUAUACAAAAAGAAGCUACAUAGGUGCACCAAAAGAAAAGUAUGACAGAAUAUUUUUAAAGCUCAAAGCAACAAGAGCAUUGAUUAAAAGUACAAUUUUAGUAUAUCUGCAAUAGUGACGAUACCAGUUAACCACAUUGGAGAAAUAUGAACAAAAAUUAUCAACACAACACAAACUAAUGUACAAUUUCCAUAAAGAAGCUACAUCGUAAUUAGCAAACAACAUUUAUUUGAUUUCCUAUCAGUUGAAAAGGAUAUGAUUGGGUGCUUAGAUUGAGAUAUCAAAGCAUGAGUAAUUGGUAACUAUAUUCUGAAAGUGGUUUACAUGUGUAUAGAAAUAGGGGAGAACAUCCAAAGGCUAGAUGCUACAAAAGCUCAAACGCACCGGUAACAUAAGACAAUUAUUUGUUUUCUUUGAUGAAGAAAAACUGAUAUACCUUAUUUUUCUUCCUUAUUUGUUUUGAUAAGAAAACAAGUUUAUACAGAAAGAAGGUAUAUGGGAUGCAUCCUGCAAACCAUGUAGGAAAGUUGUCUGCAAAAAAUGCAGGUAUUACCAAAGAAGUCGAGAACAUUAUACCAAUGCACUACUGUCCCAACAGAAGUUCUCACUUUUUAUUGCUAAUCUUCAAUUGCCUCAGUUUAUUCCGUUUAAACAAUCAAUAGUGUUUAUUAUGUUCACAUAAACACUUCAAGAAUGCCCCGAACACAUUGAAAAUCUAACUUAUUGAAGUAUGCCAGCAUUGUAGGUUCAUUAAAGAGCCUACUGCUUUGGACUACAUAUAAACUUUUGUAAAGAGUCAGCAUAAUAGGUUUAAGAAUUUGAAACAAAACCAUGGGAAAUACUGCUUUGGACUGCAUAUAAAUUGCUCUAACACAAAAAAAACCUAUUGCUUUCAUAAUUCAUGAUUCAAAAUAGAGAGAUACCAGACAACAAGUGACUACUAAGAAUAUAGGAACAAAGAGUGGAAUGCAUAUACACAACUCACAAGAGCAUCCACUAAUUCUUUCCCAAAUUCCCACUAAUAACACUAGAUAAUACCGGUUGAAAGUGGAAACCUAAAUUAAAGAAAGGGAAAUUACUGCUAUAAGAAUAAGUUAAUGACAAUAGGAUUUUAAAAUUACGGCAUAAUAUUUGAAAAAUAGGAUGAUCUUUAAAUAGUAUUUGGUUCAUCAUGCAUCAAAUAGGAUUUUCCUGCCCGUAUUUGGAUUACGAUAUAUAUGGUUCAUCAUGCAUUAAAUAGUAUAACUAGGAAACAUUUAUCCGAAAAGUAGGCUUCAAAUAGUUCAGCAUCCAGUGAGAAUUUUGGUUGUAACGGGUUGAAUACUCAAACACCAGUUGCAUUGGAUCUGCAAUAAAUCCCAUAAUGAUUAGCAAUUUUAUUUUUACACUAACAAAGUACUCAAAUCUUUAUCUACUAAACAUUAUUUUCUAGUAGGGCUGGUGGUAUUAGUUUCUAAAGAAGCUCAAUCCAUCGAGCUAGGAAAAAGAAAAAGAAUGAUUAAAUUUUGAAACUUAGCUUGAGUGGUGGAGAAACAGAGAAUGGUUUCGGGACACCAUGAAAACUACAUCGACGGAGAAAAGCUCUGAAGUUUACACAUAUAGCCGGAGAGCAUGAAAAGGCAACAAGAGAAAGGACC
rnacentral:lncRNA from 1 species